UGGGGAAUAUUGGACAAUGGGCGCAAGCCUGAUCCAGCCAUGCCGCGUGUGUGAAGAAGGCCUUUUGGUUGUAAAGCACUUUAAGCGAGGAGGAGGCUACUUGGAUUAAUACUCUAGGAUAGUGGACGUUACUCGCAGAAUAAGCACAGGCUAACUCUGUGCCAGCAGCCGCGGUAAUACAGAGGGUGCGAGCGUUAAUCGGAUUUACUGGGCGUAAAGCGUGCGUAGGCGGCUUCUUAAGUCGGAUGUGAAAUCCCUGAGCUUAACUUAGGAAUUGCAUUCGAUACUGGGAAGCUAGAGUAGGGGAGAGGAUGGUAGAAUGCCAGGUGUAGCGGUGAAAGGCGUAGAGAUCUGGAGGAAUACAGAUGGCGAAGGCAGCCAUCUGGCCUAAUACUGACGCUGAGGUACGAAAGCAUGGGGAGCAAACAGG
rnacentral:rRNA from 1 species